rnacentral:rRNA from 1 species
AUUGAACGCUGGCGGCAGGCCUAACACAUGCAAGUCGAACGAGUGGCGGACGGGUGAGUAAUGUCUGGGAAACUGCCUGAUGGAGGGGGAUAACUACUGGAAAAGGUAGCUCAUACCGCAUACCAUCGGAUGUGCCCAAAUGGGAGUAGCUAGUAGGUGGGGUAACGGCUCACCUAGGCGACGAUCCCUAGCUGUGCUGAGAGGAUGACCAGCCACACUGGAACUGAGACACGGUCCAGACUCCUACGGGAGGCAGCAGUGGGGAAUAUGGCACAAUGGGCGCAAGCCUGAUGCAGCCAUGCCGCGUGUAUGAAGAAGGCCUUCGGGUUGUAAAGUACUUUCAGCGGGGAGGCGUUACCCGCAGAAGAAGCACCGGCUAACUCCGUGCCAGUAGCUGCGGUAAUUC